UUUGCUGUCACGACACUACUACCAAAAUAUUAGACCAUGCGAAAUUUGAGACGUUCCUUUGAUCAUAAAAAAAUGAAGCACACACAAUAAUAUAUAAUUUCAUUAAAUAAAUAUCACUUGCAUCGAGUGCACAUACGUACAAGCUUGGUUCGAUUUCGUCGGAUCGUUGCGUGGUUCAUUAGGAUAGUUGAACGAGAAUUAUCUUAAUUUCUGGAGCAAUUUUGAACUAAAACCAUCUCAAAUAUUUUCGAACGGAGAGAGUAGCUAGCUAGGUUGAUGCAUGAUGACCCGUGAUCUCUACGGUUAACUAACUAACUAAUCGAAGAAGAAAAUGGGUUGAGCGAGAUGCUUUUUGUAAUAAAUUGGUAAGUUUUUGUAGUACUUACGUCUACGCUGUGAUGUACGUGCCAAUUUAGUUUGUUGAUCAUUCAGACCGAAAAGGAGUCUUUCGAAGAAAAAAAGAAUGAAAAAGAGUCACGACGUACAAGUAAAAACAAUUAGCGUUGCUGGAUCUCGUUGUGUAUACACUAAUAUAAAAGUUUUAUAUACACAGUUGCCUCCGGCGCAGUUUUUUCUUCUUCCGUUUCUUUUUGUGUUGGCUGAAAUCUGAGCCCACGCGUCAAUUCUAAAGAAUCCAGGGCCUUUUCUGUAAAACGUACAGUGUCAGAUGUAACCUUAUUACUGGCUGUGCGCUUUUUUCACUAAAUUUGUGGGUGGUGGAGUAAGCUUUUGCAAGUUUUGAACCAAAACAUCACAACCCGAGCAAGUUUGUGGACUUCUAGUGCCUUUACCUUAUGAUUUUACUUUUUAGCGUAAAUCUGAAGAAAAAAAAAUUAGCAUGCCAUAGUGAAAAUUUUGUGAUUCUGCUAGUAUCAAUUUCGAUCGGUAGCAAUGCUAUGUACAAAGGAAAAAUCAAGCAUCUGCUUGGAGGCGACCAGAAUGAUAUCACUACAGAUUCUAAGCUCCCAGGAUUGUGAGGCUCCUGGUGAAUCGGUGGUUUGAAAACUAUGUGGGUCAACGAUUUACAGGUCGAAUGGCAGCUGGGUCCAUGUGUCGGUGUUGUUCGUAUGGGCUGCCUAUGGACUGUGGACACAUAUCUUAGUCGGUUUGACGUUUUUCGUCGGUUCGAGGGACAGAGGGACAGAGGAGAGGUGUCUAGCGGCUCGGCCUUACCGCUCGCAUUCAUCACUGCUGCUCCGCCAGGCCGAGGGCCUCGGGUGUUCGCCGGUGGCGGCAUCUGGCGCACCAGCAGAGAGCCGCUAAAGGAGGUGACCGGCGCUGGCGGUUCAAGGAGGUGAGACGACCAAAACCUCGCCGGUCGCCACCAGCGCGGGAUCUCGCGGCGGCUGACGCAUGGAGGCCUAUGUUGAAGCCGUGGUGACACUGAUCGGACUCGGCUUUGUGAUCUUCUUCGCCUCUUUCCGGCGGCGGCUCCGAGCGAAGACGGGGCGAUAGGCGGGGCCACGCCACCGCAAACUACCUACGAUUUUUGGAAGGAAUCAACAGGCGUAUACUUAUUAGAUUAGUUCUCAUGGCCCAAGCCCAACAGGCACAACAAAUUAAAUGGCCUGAACGCUGCACGUUCUGGUCGAUCCCAAUGUUGUCGUCGCCGUCGCUCGAUUGUUGCCAUCAGCUACCACUCAGAAUCGGCUGCCGCCGAUGAUGAUCGUUUGUCUGCAGCCGGUUCUGGUAAUUUUUUAACCUCAUUUCAGUGUUCAUUAUGUAAUUUAGGAUGUGGAUGAUUACCUCAAAUUUUGGAGGCCCUUGCACGAAGUGGCUAUAUGGCCCCUUUUUGGCAGAUCAUGUCUAAAUUAUAUUAAUCUUUUACAUA